rnacentral:rRNA from 1 species
AGUAAAUAGAUACCCCGGUAGUCCAUGCCGUAAACGAUGUCUACUAGCCGUUGGGGCCUUUGAGGCUUUAGUGGCGCAGCUAAACGCGAUAAGUAGACCGCCUGGGGAGUACGGUCGCAAGACUAAAACUCAAAUGAAUUGACGGGGGCCCGCACAAGCGGUGGAGCAUGUGGUUUAAAUUCGAUGCAACGCGAAGAACCUUACCUGGCCUUGACAUAGUAAGAACUUUCCAGAGAUGGAUUGGUGCCUUCGGGAACUUACAUACAGGUGCUGCAUGGCUGUCGUCAGCUCGUGUCGUGAGAUGUUGGGUUAAGUCCCGCAACGAGCGCAACCCUUUUCCUUAUUUGCCAGCGAGUAAUGUCGGGAAC